rnacentral:rRNA from 1 species
AUUGAACGCUGGCGGAAUGCUUUACACAUGCAAGUCGAACGGCAGCACGGGGGCAGCCCUGGUGGCGAGUGGCGAACGGGUGAGUAAUACAUCGGAACGUGCCCGGUCGUGGGGGAUAACGUAGCGACAGUUACGCUAAUACCGCAUACGAUCUGAGGAUGAAAGCGGGGGACCUUCGGGCCUCGCGCGAUCGGAGCGGCCGAUGUCAGAUUAGGUAGUUGGUGGGGUAAAGGCCUACCAAGCCGACGAUCUGUAGCUGGUCUGAGAGGACGACCAGCCACACUGGGACUGAGACACGGCCCAGACUCCUACGGGAGGCAGCAGUGGGGAAUUUUGGACAAUGGGCGCAAGCCUGAUCCAGCCAUUCCGCGUGCAGGACGAAGGCCUUCGGGUUGUAAACUGCUUUUGUACGGAACGAAAAGGCUCUGGCUAAUACCUGGGGCUCAUGACGGUACCGUAAGAAUAAGCACCGGCUAACUACGUG